rnacentral:rRNA from 1 species
AUUGAACGCUGGCGGCAGGCCUAACACAUGCCAGUCGAGCGGAUGAAGGGAGCUUGCUCCUGGAUUCAGCGGCGGACGGGUGAGUAAUGCCUAGGAAUCUGCCUGGUAGUGGGGGAUAACGUCCGGAAACGGGCGCUAAUACCGCAUACGUCCUGAGGGAGAAAGUGGGGGAUCUUCGGACCUCACGCUAUCAGAUGAGCCUAGGUCGGAUUAGCUAGUUGGUGGGGUAAAGGCCUACCAAGGCGACGAUCCGUAACUGGUCUGAGAGGAUGAUCAGUCACACUGGAACUGAGACACGGUCCAGACUCCUACGGGAGGCAGCAGUGGGGAAUAUUGGACAAUGGGCGAAAGCCUGAUCCAGCCAUGCCGCGUGUGUGAAGAAGGUCUUCGGAUUGUAAAGCACUUUAAGUUGGGAGGAAGGGCAGUAAGUUAAUACCUUGCAGUUUUGACGUUACCAACAGAAUAAGCACCGGCUAACUUCGUG